GCGGUUAAAAAGCUCGUUAGUUGGAUUUCUGUUGUGAGGAUGGGCGGUCCGCACUUCGUGCGUGGUGAUGCUGUUACAGCCUCGGCAUGCCUCUUGGAGAACGGUGCUGCAAUUCAUUUUGUGGUCCGGAAUUCAAGACUUUUACUUUGAGGAAAUUAGAGUGUUCACGGCAAGCAAUCGCUUUGAAUACAUUAGCAUGGAAUAAUAAUAUAGGAUCUUGGUACUAUUUUGUUGGUUUCUAGAACUAAGGUAAUGAUUAAUAGGGAUAAUUGGGGGCAUUCGUAUUAACGCGUCAGAGGUGGAAUUCUUGGAUUGCGUUACGACGAACUACUGCGAAAGCAUUUGCCAAGGAUGUUUUCAUUGAUCAAGAACGAAAGUAUGGGGAUCGAAGACGAUUAGAUACCGUCGUAGUCUAUACCAUAAACUAUGCCAACUAGAGAUUGGAGGUCGUAUUUUCUAUGACUCCUUCAGCACCUUAUGAGAAAUCAAAGUCUUUGGGUUCCGGGGGGAGUAUGGUCGCAAGGCUGAAACUUAAAGGAAUUGACGGAAGGGCACCACCAGGAGUGGAGCCUGCGGCUUAAUUUGACUCAACACGGGAAAACUUACCAGGUCCAGACAUAGUAAGGAUUGACAGAUUGAUAGCU
rnacentral:rRNA from 1 species